AGUAUUAAAUUCAAAAAGAAAUAAAUUGUAAAUUUAUUAUUGAAGAUUAUAAUUCUUCUAAUACUA
rnacentral:tRNA from 1 species